GGACAACAGUUAUUUAUAGAAUUUGGACAUUCCACUGAUAUUACGUGAUAUUACCAUCCACUCCUAUGCAGGAGACAUCACCUGUGUUUUAUAUGUGUACAGAUUGCAGCAUUAUUUAUUUAUUAGAUUUUCAAUUUGUUUUUUUACGGUUUCAUUGCUGAUAAUUUAGUUAUUAUCCUUGCUUUUUUGUGUGUAUUAUAUUUUAAGCACAG